rnacentral:rRNA from 1 species
UACGGAGGGGGCAAGUGUUAUUCAUGCUUGAUUGGGCGUAAAGGGCACGUAGGCGGCUUCUUAAGUUUAAAAGUUAAAGCUUUCAGGUAAACUGGAGAUUUGUCUUUUAAUACUAUUUGGCUUAGAGUCUAGAAGAAGAAGGCAGUAUUCUUUGUGGAGAGGUGAAAAUUCGCGGAUAUGAAGGAGACUCGCAUUAGGUAAAGGCGGCCUUUCUAGUUUAGAACUGACGCUUAAUGUGCGAAAGCGUGGGGAGCGAACAGGA